UGUUUUUUCAAAAAAGGCGAAAGCCCACUUGAAAGAUAAUGACGGUUAAUAGAGUAGCAUUUCACGGACUUCAAAGGCAAGGAAUGAAGGUUGUUUUGCUGACUGUGAUGGGAGAGUCUGAGACAUCAAAGAGAGAAGAUGCAAUAGACAGUAUACAAAGUUUGGUCACUGGGAAGGAAAGAAGAUUGAGAAGACUGGCUUCCACAAGUCCUCUUGAGAGAGACGGUCCCAGACAACAUAGACUAUAAGCAGAAUCUGGAGCUGUAUUGCAUCGGUGUCUAUCUCCCUUGAGAUCUGGAAACUCCAGGGUGCAGUCUCAGUUUCAUCCCUCUUCCCAUUUUCAGAAACAGACCAAAAGUUCUUCUCAUAGUGGUUUACACAACAACAAUGCAUGGACCCUGGUUGGGCAGAAUGAAACAUCAAGGAGAUUUUCAAAGUCACAAGCUAACAGUGGACAACUCUGAUUAACUCCUGAUUUUAGGAGUUCUGCAGCCCUCCUCAAGCUUUAUGCCUAAAGCUCACAUACUUCACAUUCAGAGCCCCACAAGAACUCCAGAACUUGUGUCUAGGUUAACUCCAGAUCAACAGGGCCCCAGGCAUUUCUGCCCCAGCUUUUUCUGUUACUGUGCUAAUUGCUCUCAAUGGAAGUAUCUGGGAGUGAGAAGGGUCCCAGCUGCUGCCUGAAGGAUUCUGCUGGGACUGCUCCCUUCUUUCCCUCCCUGCACCUUCCCUGCCUCCUCCGCCACACCCUCAUGGCUUGGGAUUCCAUUAUGGGAACAUCUUUUUUGUGAUUGAUUACUUCCUUUUUAGCUGCUGCCCAUGUCCCCUUAACCCUAUGAACUGAAGCUAUUGACACUAGAGUUGUGUAGUGAAAUCUCCACCUUCUGAAUCAAGUAUAAAAAUGCCAAAUAAAAAGCUCUUUUUGUAUCUGGGCA
rnacentral:lncRNA from 1 species